rnacentral:rRNA from 1 species
GUGGGGAAUUUUGCGCAAUGGGCGAAAGCCUGACGCAGUAACGCCGCGUGGAGGAUGAAGGCCUUCGGGUUGUAAACUCCUGUCAGGGGGAACGACGGAGAAAGGGUGACAAACCCUUUCCUCCAGACGGUACCUCCAAAGGAAGCCCCGGCUAAUUCCGUGCCAGCAGCCGCGGUAAUACGGAAGGGGCGAGCGUUGUUCGGAAUCAUUGGGCGUAAAGGGCGCGUAGGUGGUUCUGUAUGUCUACCGUGAAAGCGUACGGCUCAACCGUAUUUUGUCGGUAGAAACUGCAGGACUUGAGGCUGGGAGGGGCUGGUGGAAUUCCCUGUGUAGCGGUGAAAUGCGUAGAGAUGGGGGAGAACACUCGUGGCGAAGGCGGCCAGCUAGACCAGUUCUGACACUGAGGCGCGACAGCGUGGGGAGCAAACAGGAUUAGAUACCCUUGUAGUCC